UCCUACUCCCUCUCUCUCCGGACACCGCCGGCAGCCGCCGUCGUCGAAACCCCAAUCUUCACCAAAAUUUCUAGAUUUUCUCCUCUUCAUUCCCUCUUCCCAUUUCUCCAAGCAAAAUCAUAAAAUCUGGCCAUUCAAUCCUCCAAAAACCCUAGAACCCGAAGCCAAUUUGGGUGUUUUUGUGAUUUCUUCAUUCCAAGUUCAAAUCAAGAGGCUAGGCUACGGGUUUGGCAAGGAUUUGUGGUGAAGAAGGCCAAGGAGGAGGAAUAGGCCGUGAGUUUUGAAGACGAAAGGGAAACACGAUCGUUAAGGAAGCUUAAGCGGAAAGCACCAGAGUGUGGAAUACGCUUGCAUUUCCAGGUAGGGUGAGUUGUCCUUUCCUUGUUAGAGGUUUUUCGAUAUACGUGGAAUGCUAUAGUAUAAUAGUAUGUUGCCUGCAAGUACGUUUUUGGUUGUUCAUUAGUCGAUGCCUCGUGACACCUGUGUUUUCACAAUUGAUAAUUGCUGAUUGCGAAAACCGAGGCUAGACUUGCAUGUUGAGAUACUGUACCCAUUGUAUGUUUGUAAU